GCUUUUGUUUUUUCUUUCUCUUGCAAUCUCAUGAUGAUACUCACCGAAUUAUGGGAAUUUGAUUCCAUUCUAACUCCAACUACUCUAAUCUUUUAUCUUUUUAUCUUGGUGUUUUUCUUUUUAGAGUAAAAUUGAUACAGCUAAAGUGUACAAGUGAAAUCACACAAAUAAGUCCUAACACAAAGAUAAUUGAUAUAUACAUUCCAAUGGAAGUAGAAGUUUAAUUGGAUUAUCAUUUAAAAAAAAUUCUUCUUUGCACAAAAAUUUCAAACAAGACAAAGGUGAUAGGAAAAAAGCUUUGAUGCAUCUAAGAUGGACCUAAUCGUUGGGCAAGGUAAUAAAGGUAAGAGAGCAUGCGGGUGGCAGCGGCAUGCAAAAGCCAAUGGGUGAAAACUCAAGUCAGUGAUUUGAGACUUUACUGGUUUUAGGUUUUGGCCCACAAAACCUGGAACUUCCCUUUUCAACUGUGAAGAACAUCUUCGUCUUUUUCAACAUGCGCGCUUGGCUUCGCCUAAAGGAUGAUUCAGAGCAAGAAGGAAGGCUUAAUCAUGUCGUCAGUGAAACUUGGAAAAGUCCAUAUGAACAACCCACAAAAGACAGGUUUGAAGGUUGACCGCAGAGAAACCAAACAAAUAGUUUGAAAAUCUGAUGGCGUAUACACAUUGACUCUAUUUUUUGUCAGAACAACAACAACUAGAAAGAAAAAAAAAGGUGCUUUUCUUACUCUCUAUGCCUUUUUUUUACGUCUCAUUAUUGAAGUAAUGUCUUAGGAAGGAAGAAGCUCUCAUUAAUGAAAACUGAAGCACAUACAAAACUGGAUAAAAGAAAGAAAAAAGUCUUGAAUUGUCAUUUAAGUUUUGGGUGCUGGGUUUAUACACAUUUAAACACACUCUUUUAUUUUGCAUUUAUUUAAGAGUAAAUGAAUAUUAUGUUGUUUCAAUUAAUUAAUUGAUGGUAGUACAAAAAUUAGGAGGUGGGAGCUAGAGUUGGUAUCUUGGAUGGAGAACUUUAAUGUGCGUUUUCUGUAAGUUGUCAAAGUGUGUAGUUACAGACCAACUUGGUCUCAAAGCAUUUUUUUUUUUCAUAUCCUAUCAGAGGUUUUGAAAUUUACCUUACAACAUUUUCAAAUUUAUGAUUGGUAUGUGAAUAAAAUUGGAAAAGAUCAAGGGUGCAAAAGGAAAGGUUUCUGUCGAUAGUGAUCCUUAAGGAUUAUCUAAG